GAUGAACGCUGGCGGCGUGCUUAACACAUGCAAGUCGAGCGAGUGAGUUCUUCGGAACGAUCUAGCGGCGGACGGGUGAGUAACACGUGGGCAACCUGCCUCAUAGAGGGGAAUAGCCUCCCGAAAGGGAGAUUAAUACCGCAUAAAAUUAUCGAGUGGCAUCACAUGAUAAUCAAAGGAGUAAUCCGCUAUGAGAUGGGCCCGCGGCGCAUUAGCUAGUUGGUGAGGUAACGGCUCACCAAGGCGACGAUGCGUAGCCGACCUGAGAGGGUGCUCGGCCACAUUGGGACUGAGACACGGCCCAGACUCCUACGGGGGGCAGCAGUGGGGAAUAUUGCACAAUGGGGGAAACCCUGAUGCAGCAACGCCGCGUGAGUGAUGAAGGUCUUCGGAUUGUAAAGCUCUGUCUUUGGGGACGAUAAUGACGGUACCCAAGGAGGAAGCCACGGCUAACUACGUGCCAGCAGCCGCCGUAA
rnacentral:rRNA from 1 species